CCUACGGGAGGCAGCAGUAGGGAAUAUUGGACAAUGGGCGCAAGCCUGAUCCAGCCAUGCCGCGUGAGUGAAGAAGGCCCUCGGGUUGUAAAGCUCUUUUGUCCGGAAAGAAAAGCGCCCGGUUAAUACCCGGGUGUCCUGACGGUACCGGAAGAAUAAGCACCGGCUA
rnacentral:rRNA from 1 species